rnacentral:rRNA from 1 species
UACGAAGGGGGCGAGCGUUAUUCGGAAUCACUGGGCGUAAAGCGUGCGUAGGCUGUUUCACAAGUUGGAAGUGAAAGCCCAGGGCUCAACCCUGGAAUUGCUUUCAAAACUGUGAGACUAGAAUCUCGGAGAGGAUAGCGGAAUUUCCAGUGUAGUAGUGAAAUACGUAGAUAUUGGAAGGAACACCAGUGGCGUAAGCGGCUAUCUGGACGAGUAUUGACGCUGAGGCACGAAAGCGUGGGGAUCAAACAGGAUUAGAUACCCUGGUAGUCCACGCUGUAAACGAUGUGAGUUUGUCGCCGGGGGGUUCACCCUUCGGUGACGUAGCUAACGCGAUAAACUCACCGCCUGGGAAGUACGGCCGCAAGGUUAAA